rnacentral:rRNA from 1 species
UACGGAGGGUGCAAACGUUGCUCGGAAUCAUUGGGCGUAAAGCGCACGUAGGCGGCCUGUUAAGUCGGAUGUGAAAGCCCCGGGCUCAACCCGGGAAGUGCAUUCGAAACUGGCGGGCUUGAAUAUGGAAGAGGGUCGCGGAAUUCCCGGUGUAGAGGUGAAAUUCGUAGAUAUCAGGAGGAACACCGAUGGCGAAGGCAGCUUACUGGGCCGAUACUGACGCUGAGGAGCGAAAGCGUGGGGAGCGAACAGG